rnacentral:rRNA from 1 species
ACACAUGCAAGUCGAGCGGUAACAGAUCCAGCUUGCUGGAUGCUGACGAGCGGCGGACGGGUGAGUAAUGCAUAGGAAUCUGCCCGAUAGUGGGGGAUAACCUGGGGAAACCCAGGCUAAUACCGCAUACGUCCUACGGGAGAAAGGGGGCUUCGGCUCCCGCUAUCGGAUGAGCCUAUGUCGGAUUAGCUAGUUGGUGAGGUAAAGGCUCACCAAGGCAACGAUCCGUAGCUGGUCUGAGAGGAUGAUCAGCCACAUCGGGACUGAGACACGGCCCGAACUCCUACGGGAGGCAGCAGUGGGGAAUAUUGGACAAUGGGGGCAACCCUGAUCCAGCCAUGCCGCGUGUGUGAAGAAGGCCCUCGGGUUGUAAAGCACUUUCAGCGAGGAAGAACGCCUAGCGGUUAAUACCCGCUAGGAAAGACAUCACUCGCAGAAGAAGCACCGGCUAACUCCGUGCCAGCAGCCGCGGUAAUACGGAGGGUGCAAGCGUUAAUCGGAAUUACUGGGCGUAAAGCGCGCGUAGGUGGCUUGAUAAGCCGGUUGUGAAAGCCCCGGGCUCAACCUGGGAACGGCAUCCGGAACUGUCAAGCUAGAGUGCAGGAGAGGAAGGUAGAAUUCCCGGUGUAGCGGUGAAAUGCGUAGAGAUCGGGAGGAAUACCAGUGGCGAAGGCGGCCUUCUGGACUGACACUGACACUGAGGUGCGAAAGCGUGGGUAGCAAACAGGAUUAGAUACCCUGGUAGUCCACGCCGUAAACGAUGUCGACCAGCCGUUGGGUGCCUAGCGCACUUUGUGGCG